UACGUAGGGUGCAAGCGUUUGUCCGGAAUUAUUGGGCGUAAAGAGCUCGUAGGCGGUUUGUUGCGUUCGGCUGUGAAAUCCCGAGGCUCAACCUCGGGUCUGCAGUCGAUACGAGCAAACUAGAGUGUUGCAGGGGAGACUGGAAUUCCUGGUGUAGCGGUGAAAUGCGCAGAUAUCAGGAGGAACACCGGUGGCGAAGGCAGGUCUCUGGGCAUUAACUGACGCUGAGGAGCGAAAGCAUGGGGGAGCGAACAGG
rnacentral:rRNA from 1 species